AUUGAACGCUGGCGGUAGGCCUAACACAUGCAAGUCGAACGGCAGCACAGUAAGAGCUUGCUCUUACGGGUGGCGAGUGGCGGACGGGUGAGGAAUACAUCGGAAUCUACUUUUUCGUGGGGGAUAACGUAGGGAAACUUACGCUAAUACCGCAUACGACCUACGGGUGAAAGCAGGGGAUCUUCGGACCUUGCGCGAUUGAAUGAGCCGAUGUCGGAUUAGCUAGUUGGCGGGGUAAAGGCCCACCAAGGCGACGAUCCGUAGCUGGUCUGAGAGGAUGAUCAGCCACACUGGAACUGAGACACGGUCCAGACUCCUACGGGAGGCAGCAGUGGGGAAUAUUGGACAAUGGGCGCAAGCCUGAUCCAGCCAUACCGCGUGUGUGAAGAAGGCCUUCGGGUUGUAAAGCCCUUUUGUUGGGAAAGAAAAGCAGCAGGUUAAUACCUCGCUGUUCUGACGGUACCCAAAGAAUAAGCACCGGCUAACUUCGUG
rnacentral:rRNA from 1 species